CUAUGCCAGAUAAUAGUGCAAAGGCUUAAAAAUAGGGUGAGUAUUUUUGUAUGAUGUGCACCGUUAAAUAGAAAAUUUGUAUUUUUGUGCAGUUCUUUGCAGAAACAUAAGCACGUCUUUGUCAACGCAAGAAAGACUGGAAAAGUUGAUGGUGGCUUCAAUGAAGAUGGCAAUCGAUAGAACUGAAUCCUCUCUUCAGACAGCAAAAAACUCCUCUAUGGAGUCUUUUAAAGUUAAAGUUCAGCAAAUGCUCAAAGAAUGGGAUUGGCUGUCUCAAAGUAUACAGAGUGAAUUUCAAGGACCUCAGACUAAUGGCAAUGCAGCUAGUUCGGGUGAUCCGUCAGUUCAGGUGGCCAUGGAAAACAUUAAGACAGCUAUUAACAGACUUGAGGUGGAAAGUGAAUCUUGGGAAAGAUUGCUGAACAAACACAAAGAUAAAGCAGAAGAGUUGGACAGGAAAGUACAAAAAGGCCAAGAAAGCAGUGUCACUCCAGACUCCACAGCACUAGCUCAGUCCUCUCAAUAUCAAGUUAUCCAGAGCAAACCCAACUAUAACCUUGUCCUCAGCAGACAGCAACCAAUGCUUCAGACAAUGGCUCUUAUUAUGGACACUCAGUGCAAAAUGGUUAAAAAUCUUCUUUCCAUCCGAGACCAGUCAACGUUAGUGGUGAAAGAGACCAGUGGUCAACUAGCUGCAAAGUCUGGGUUGCCGGAGCUUUCAUCUGACUUGGUGAAGAACUUACUCACACAACCUUUGGCCUCUGCGGCGCAAUAGCCACUUAUCAAUAAUCAAUGGACCACAACUCUAUGCUUCUGUGAUAUCAGUGCGACCUUCUAUCUAUUUACCAUAUCUGUUUACUGGCGUUUUGUUUUUUAUUUGUUUUGGCUUUUUAAUACCACUGAAAUAUAAGAUUACAGUACAUGGUAGAAUAAAAUGUCUUUAUUAGAUGCUGCUUUGGGUUGCCUUGUGCUGUAAUACAAGUGUUUUAACAGCAGGGGGCGGCGGUUAGCCAUAUAAAUAAUGACACGUGUUUGGUGGCAGGCUGAGUGGUGUAAUAUUUUUCUCUUUUUUUUUUCUUUUUUUACUUUCAAAAUAGUUUCAAUUAACCCGUGUAGCAAAGUUAUGCUUACUGCUAAAUAAAGUUUUAAACGGUAGUAUAGACAGUAUAAUUAUAAAUGUAAAAGUGUGAUGAGGAAGGCCAACAAUUAAACCAUUACAAUAUAUUUAAUUUAAUUUGCAAAUCUCAUACGCGUUAAUCAUUGCUUUUAUAGUAAAGUUCAUUGGGAACUAUCUCGUCGUUCUCUUAAUUCCAAUCCUGCGACUCAGAUGUUCAUAUUUGCCACCGGCUAUAUACAGUACUAUGCAUGUGUUUUGCUCUGGUUUAAUUAUCUGUCGCGCGCGCUCAGAUUCGCUGUUUUGCGUCUCAUCUAUUUCACUUCAUCGGUGUCCCCUGACCAUUGAGGAGCAGGCCCCUCCCCCACUGUGACUCACCCCCAUCUCGCGUUUGGCUGAGGCACUGAUGCAGAACGAAGCUUUGACAUUGUACCAGUCACUCAAAAGCUUUGUUUGCUAUCAUUUCUGUCUCUUUUGUGGAGCCAUUCACUCAUGUAUUAAGACACCAUUUGUUCCCCCUGGUGUUUUACAGCUGCGUAUAAUCAUGUCAGUGUCAGUAUUACGUUACAACCACUAGUUUUGUAGAGCUACUUAAUAACCAGGUAAAGUGUGAGGCAUGCGUGGGGGAAUUGCAGUAAAAAUGGGGGGAAAUAUUGAUUUGACUCUUGUGUAAAGCUUAUAGUUAAAAGUCAAGCUGAAAAUGACCUAACCUGAAUUAGCCUGAGAAAUGAAUUAAGAAAUCGGUGUGCGUGGGUAAUACACUUUUAAUUUAUUGUUCUGCCACGCUUUCCAGGUUGGAUAUUUUCUUGUUGCAUUCAAGGCAGUGGCUAGAGGCUACAGGGACCAGCAAAGGGGAGACAAGUGGGGUUAUGACCAUGCGAGUUGUGAGCAAAGGGAGGAUGGAGCCCAGCAGGAGAGAUCGAUUCUUAUUUAGAUGAAAAUGAGGCUUGAUGCUCGUGAGGUGAGAGGAGGGCAGCCCGCGCAUCCAAAUGAAAAGAACUUUCACAGAGAUGAGCCUUAAAUGAAUCACUGACAAUAGAAGCCUUAAGAAGUUUUCUAAACCAAUGACCCCUUCUCACUUUUAGGAAGAACUCUUGACUUUACAAUGCCCUUGAGGAAAUAUGGUAACAAGCGCAGGUUUGCAUUAGGUUGUAUAAGAAAGGGCCACCUUAAAUGGCUUUUACAUGCCACAGUGUGCCCUCUUGAAAGAAAUUGAUGCGUUUGGCUUGGUGUCAUGCAAAUGGCUUAUUUAUUUGAUGUGUUUGCAGCAAUAAAAGGGUAGGAGUGGGGAAUAUAUGACCCUCGCUAACAACUACAGACCCUUUUAUAGACAUGCAGGGAACAAUUACUGUUUGGGUUUACUGUAGCUACACUUUAUUCCCGUUGUCCCUAACUUUAGAUUGAUUAGCUCCAGAUUGUUGUAGAUGGAUGUGAGGAGAGUCAGCAUAAACCCGUGCCAGUUUGGUCCUACUCCCUCAUGCACACCCAUCAUCUCUCCUCAGUGCAGGAACGCUGGGCUGCAGCUCUCCUCCACAUCCAUCCAUCCAGCCAUUCGUCUUGGAAAGCUGUCUCUCCGAUCUGAGUGAUAAACUACUGCAGAAUUGCCCAGUUUGCAAAAAACAAGGA
ensembl:lncRNA